GAGAGUAGGCGUAGGCAGUUGCAGAUCAGCAAUUAACACUGAUUUGAGGAAAGUCCGGGCUCCCGAAAGACCAAACUUGCUGGAUAACGUCCAGUGCGAGCGAUCGUGAGGAUAGUGCCACAGAAAGAUACCGCCAAUCAUGUUCAAAUUAGUUGAAAUUGAUUGGUAAGGGUGCAAAGGUGCGGUAAGAGCGCACCAGCAGUAUCGAGAGGUACUGGCUCGGUAAACCCCGGUUGGGAGCAAGGCCGGAAGGAACUAUGGUUGGUCUUUUACCAGUUCCGCAAUUAAGAGCCGCUAGAGGUGUUUGGUAACAAGCAUCCCAGAUAGAUAACUGCCCUCGCAAGAGAACAGAACCCGGCUUACUACCUGCUCUUUCUA
rnacentral:RNase_P_RNA from 1 species